UACGUAGGGUGCGAGCGUUGUCCGGAAUUAUUGGGCGUAAAGGGCUCGUAGGCGGUUUGUCGCGUCGGGGAGUGAAAACACCGGGCUUAACUCGGUGCUUGCUUUCGAUACGGGCAGACUAGAGGUAUGCAGGGGGAGAACGGAAUUCCUGGUGUAGCGGUGAAAUGCGCAGAUAUCAGGAGGAACACCGGUGGCGAAGGCGGUUCUCUGGGCCUUACCUGACGCUGAGGAGCGAAAGCGUGGGGAGCAAACAGG
rnacentral:rRNA from 1 species